CGGCCCUCGGCGUACUGCUCAGUAACACGUGGAUAACCUGCCCUAAGGAAGGGGAUAACCCCGGGAAACUGGGGAUAAUACCCUAUAGGUUACAGAUGCUGGAAUGCUCUGUAACCGAAAGUUCCGGCGCCUUAGGAUGGAUCUGCGGCCGAUUAGGUUGUUGUCGGGGUAACGGCCCAACAAGCCAGUAAUCGGUACGGGUUGUGGGAGCAAGAGCCCGGAGUUGGAUUCUGAGACACGAAUCCAGGCCCUACGGGGCGCAGCAGGCGCGAAAACUUUACAAUGCGGGCAACCGUGAUAAGGGAACCUCGAGUGCCUGUAUAUGCAGGCUGUCUGGGUGUCUAAAACACACCUAAAGAAAGGGCCGGGCAAGACCGGUGCCAGCCGCCGCGGUAAUACCGGCGGCUCGAGUGGUGGCCACUUUUAUUGGGCUUAAAGCGUUCGUAGCUGGGUUGUUAAGUCCCUUGGGAAAUCCGACAGCUUAACUGUCGGGCGUCUAAGGGAUACUGGCAAUCUUGGAACCGGGAGAGGUGAGGGGUACUUCGGGGGUAGGAGUGAAAUCCUGUAAUCCUCGAGGGACCACCUGUGGCGAAGGCGCCUCACCAGAACGGCUUCGACAGUGAGGGACGAAAGCUGGGGGAGCAAACCGGAUUAGAUACCCGGGUAGUCCCAGCCGUAAACGAUGUGCGUUAGGUGUAUCGGUGACCACGAGUCACCGAGGUGCCGAAGGGAAACCGUGAAACGUACCGCCUGGGAAGUACGGUCGCAAGGCUGAAACUUA
rnacentral:rRNA from 1 species